CCAAAGGCUCUUUUUAGAGCCACUUCACGUUUACACAGUAAGAGCUG
rfam:Camelus ferus unplaced genomic scaffold scaffold595, whole genome shotgun sequence.